rnacentral:rRNA from 1 species
GCUCAGAACGAACGCUGGCGGCGUGGAUAAGACAUGCAAGUCGAGCGCUGGUUACGGGGUAGCAAUAUUUCGUAAUUGGAGCGGCGCAAGGGUGCGUAACACGUGGGUAAUCUGCCAUGAAGUUCGGGAUAACUUGCUGAAAGGCGAGCUAAUACCGGAUGUGACACCUGGGGGGCAUCUCCCGGUUGUCAAAGUUGGGGACCGUAAGGCCUGACGCUUCAUGAUGAGCCCGCGGCCUAUCAGCUAGUUGGUGAGGUAACGGCUCACCAAGGCUAAGACGGGUAGCUGGUCUGAGAGGACGACCAGCCACACUGGAACUGAGACACGGUCCAGACACCUACGGGUGGCAGCAGUCGAGAAUUUUUCACAAUGGGCGCAAGCCUGAUGGAGCGACGCCGCGUGGGGGAUGAAUGGCUUCGGCCCGUAAACCCCUGUCAUUCGCGAUCAACCCUUAUUAUUUAAAAGAUGAUAAGCUGAUAGUAGCGGAAGAGGAAGGGACGGCUAACUCUGUGCCAGCAGCCGCGGUAAUACAGAGGUCCCAGGCGUUGUUCGGAUUCACUGGGCGUAAAGGGUGCGUAGGUGGUGAGGUAAGUCGGAUGUGAAAGCUCGGAGCUCAACUCCGAAAUGGCAUUGGAAACUACCUUGCUCGAGGGUUGGAGGGGGGACUGGAAUACUUGGUGUAGCAGUGAAAUGCGUAGAUAUCAAGUGGAACACCAGUGGCGAAGGCGAGUCCCUGGACAACUCCUGACACUGAGGCACGAAAGCUAGGGGAGCAAACAGGAUUAGAUACCCUGGUAGUCCUAGCCGUAAACGGUGCACGUUUGCUGUAAAAGGAAUCGACCCCUUUUGUGGCGUAGCCAACGCGUUAAACGUGCCGCCUGGGAAGUACGGUC